UAAGACGUAGGAUGCAAGCGUUGUCCGGAUUUAUUGGGCGUAAAGAGUUCGUAGGCGGUUCGUUAAGUUUGGUGUUAAAGACUGUGGCUCAACCACGGGAUCGCACUGAAUACUGGCGGACUCGAGUGUAGUAGAGGCAAGCGGAAUUCCCAGUGUAGCGGUGAAAUGCGUAGAUAUUGGGAAGAACACCGGUGGCGCAAGCGGCUUGCUGGGCUAUAACUGACGCUGAGGAACGAAAGCUAGGGUAGCGAAUGGGAUUAGAUACCCCAGUAGUCCUAGCUGUAAACGAUGGAUACUAGGCGUAUCGGGUAUCGACCCCUGAUGUGCCGUAGCAAACGCGAUAAGUAUCCCGCCUGAGUAGUACGGCCGCAAGGUUG
rnacentral:rRNA from 1 species